rnacentral:rRNA from 1 species
UACAGAGGGGGCAAGCGUUAUUCGGAAUUAUUGGGCGUAAAGGGCGCGUAGGCGGCCAUUCAAGUGACGGGUGAAAGCCCUCUGCUUAACCGAGGAACUGCCUGUCAGACUGGAUGGCUUGAGACCGGGAGAGGUGAGUGGAAUUCCCAGUGUAGCGGUGAAAUGCGUAGAUAUUGGGAGGAACACCAGUGGCGAAGGCGGCUCACUGGACCGGAACUGACGCUGAGGCGCGAAAGCGUGGGGAGCAAACAGG